ensembl:lncRNA
AUGGCAUUGUCCACGAUGGAGAAAAAGGCCAAGACCUGUGUCAUAUGUGAGCAGGUAGAGUGCCUUUUCCCUGUGAGGGAGACAACUCCAGAAGCUGGGUCAGAUGUGCGUGGGGCUAGAAAGAAGGGGCAGAAGAAGUAUCCCUAUCCUGCGCUGGAAAGCAAGUGCAAAUGGGGCAAUUCCCUCUUCCUUGCAUCUCUCAGAUCAGGUGAGUAAUAGGGAACCCUGGUAAAUCCAUCACACUAAGUAGAUUGCUUGCCUGUGAUGACGUUGUGUAAUUCACUUAGCUUUUAAAUUGUUUAGUCUAUGUUAGGAGGUCACUGAUAAUCCAAAGCAGAUACAGGGAAAGUUUUGAAAACAACCAAUGUUAGACAAGGUUCCAGGAUCUUCUGUCAAUUCAGUGUCAUGAAUCCCUACCUGUUUUUCCCUUACAAUCUUUAUGAAUUCCAGAGCUCCUUCUGAGGGGGCUUUCUCAAAUGUUUUCUGGGAGGAUGGCCUUGGGGCUAUGGCCUUAACCUCUGGUUCUCCACUCAUUAGUUAUAAAUCCCUAGGAAUUCGCCUCACUUACCUGAGCUUCAGUUUCCUCAUCUAUAAAUUGGAAUACCACCACUACCACAUAGAGGGACUUGCAUGAACCAAUGACAUGGCACAUUUGAAAAGUGCCAAGGCUGGAUAUGGUAUAGGAAGUCUUCCGAUAGAUGUUUUCCUUUUUCUCUCAAAAUGCUAGGCAUCUAGUAUGUCUUCUUCGUGCCAAUAAUCUUGGGGGAAUUUGCCCCAGAAAAAAAGCAAGCCAAAUUUGUGUAGUAGUCACAAAGACUGCUUCAAAAACACAAGCUUUCUCUUAAAUAGACAAAUGGGCAUGAACAACAGACAAUACACUGUUGCUUUAACCCUCUAGCUGCAGACCUUUUCUUGGAACUCCGGUGCCUGAAGGGUUAAGCCACUAAUCCCUCCAUUAGUCCAUCAGAGGGCUGGGUAUGAGAACUGGUGAAAGUGAGCAUGAGUACAGAUACAUUUUCUGUGAGUUCUCCUUUACUGAGGUCAACUUAAAGGUAAUAAGUCUCAGCAAGCCUAGGGAUGCUGUCAAAUAGGGGCAUUUGCCUAGCAUGGCUUCUUGGGAAUCCACAAAUCCUAACAAAAGACUUAUUUAGGUACCUCCCUGACCCUCCACAUCAUCCCAGAACUCAGUGUGGUCACCUCAUGGUUGCACCAGCAU